AUCAUUGCGAAUCCGUCUCUCUCUCAUACUUGAUGGAGGGGCGGCCUCUCCUUUCUUUCUCCUUUUUAGUGGGGGGGAGGGGGGCGCUUUCCCCCCCACUAUUUUAUGAGGGGGGGGACAACCCCCCCCCCCCCCCAAUAUAUUUUGGGGGGGGGGGGCCCCCUCCCGGGCCCCCCCGUUUUAAUUGUUUUAACCCCGCCCCCUCCCCCGGGGGGAAACCUUUUUUAAACCCCCCCGAGCUUUUUUUUUUAAUUUUUUAGACCAGGUUCAUGGCCGCCCCCCCCUUUUUCCCCAAAAUUUUUCCUUUUAUUUCAGCCAGAGAGUGGAGGGACCACCCCCUUAAAUACCCGCCUUCUCUUUUUUUUGUAUGAUGGCCACACUAACGGCCCCGUUUAUGAAAAUUGAAAGAAGGGAGAGGGCCACGGUAAUCCGUUUGCUCCGAAUCCUCUCGGAAACAAGCGGCCCACAAUGGCUAAGAAAAGGGGUUCCGACACAAAAAGCUGGACGAAACCUCAUAACUCCCCGUAUUUCGUAUUGAGGAAAUAGCUCGCCACUUCACCCCCCAGAGUAGCACAUAUAGCACUGCGGCGCCA
rnacentral:rRNA from 1 species